rnacentral:rRNA from 1 species
UACGUAGGGGGCAAGCGUUGUCCGGAUUUAUUGGGCGUAAAGAGCUCGUAGGCGGCUUGUCGCGUCUGCUGUGAAAAUCCGAGGCUCAACCUCGGACUUGCAGUGGGUACGGGCAGACUAGAGGUAGGCGAGGGGAGAACGGAAUUCCUGGUGUAGCGGUGAAAUGCGCAGGAUAUCGAGGAGGAACACCGGUGGCGAAGGCGGUUCUCUGGGCCUUACCUGGACGCUGGAGGAGCGAAAGCGUGGGGAGCAAACAGG